CACGCAGGCGGUCUGUCAAGUCGGAUGUGAAAUCCCCGCGCUUAACGUGGGCAUUGCAUUUGAAACUAUGUAGCUAGAGUUCUGUAGAGGGGGGUAGAAUUCCAGGUGUAGCGGUGAAAUGCGUAGAGAUCUGGAGGAAUACCGAUUGCGAAGGCAGCCCCCUGGACAGUGACUGACGCUCAUAUGCGAAAGCGUGGGGAUCAAACAGGAUUAGAUACCCCUGUA
rnacentral:rRNA from 1 species